CUGGGGGGAGGGGGGCGGGGACCGACCUGGAAGGGCGGAGACGGGUCGGGAAGGUUGUCCCCGCCUGGCACGGGCUCGGCGGGGAGGACCCUCCUGCUGGCUGCGCGGCCCGGCGGGGAUGGAGGCGAGGACGUGAGCUAGGCGCCGGCGGUCUCUCUUGCGGAGGUGUCUCUCCCGGGUGCCCGCCCGGCCCCCGGGGUGACCCGCGGUGACCCGGCGGUGGCGUCCUGCCAACCUCCGCUGCACACACGGCUCUCUCCUCUCUGGCUUGUUUGCUGUUGCCCUGUUGUGUCUUUUGGUUUUUUUGUAGUUGUUGUUUGCUUUUGUUUUUGUUUUUUUUUUCUUAACUCUCCCGAGCCCUCUUACCCUUCCCGCCUUGCUCAGCCUUGUUCCUCGUCCUAACCUUUUAAGGGAUUUCUGGUUCCAGCUCCGUCGCUUUCUAAGGAUGGGUAAAGCCCCAGCUGCUUCUGGGGCUUCAAAGGAACGUUAAUACUACGCAAACCAACUCGAUUGGGGUUUCUUGAUUAUUUACCCUGAGCCAGUCAUUGUUUUAGGCAUUGGCGACCCCUUGACUGUAAUGACCUAUUUAAGCCACCUUCUGAGGUCACAUGUUUUAAAAAAGUUUGCAAUUCAUUAUCAUCUUUAAAAACAGGGUUAUUUAAUUUUAUUAUUUUUUUAAUCUUUGUCUUGACAACCACACACACGACUUGCAAGAAAUACCUGAAGCAUUUCAAGCCAUCUAGCUGAGGUCUUCACCAAUUGCUGUUUUUCUAGACGCUUCCCCUGUUUUCAGACACUGCAUGUUUUUAGAACAUGUAGAGCCAAAGUAAGAGAUUUGGGUUUAAAUUUUUACCGUCAAAUGGAGCUUUAGGGAUUUAUCUAGACCGAGUGCCGGAAACUGGUUUUAUUCGGGAGCAGGACUAGGGUGCCUUCAGCAAACAUUUUGCACCUGUGCUGCUGGGUCAGGGAUCGUUCUAGAUCCUGGGGAUGCAGCUUUCCUUAUCCACCAGUCGACUACCCUGCAGCCUGGCGUAUUGAGAAAUGAAAUGAUUGAGUAAAAUGCAUGUAGGAAGUCACUUGCCUGUAAGACUGAAUUUUCUGAACUGCAAUUAUUACUAGGAUCGUAGCAGAACCCAAAUGAGGGUAAAACUAUUACCCCUGGAAGUACUGUAGAAAUAGAAAGUGAGUGUAAUGUGUAUAUAAUGCACCAAAGGCAAUAUCAGGCCUUUGAAUAAUGAUAGUGUUAGGUGCUGAAGAACUGUUAGUGCUGAAAUACAAAAUUUCUAUUCAUUGAAGAACUCCAGAGUACAGCUCUUCCUCUGUCUACCUAGAAAAGCUGAAAAUAAAAUAGUUAAGAACUCUUGGGAUCUACAUGCCCCUUUGCUUAAUUGAUAGCUCACUGCUUUGCCAUAAUUAACUUACCCUGUUUCCCAAAAAAUGUUAUGGUCUAUUUGGUGGCCCUUAAAAGUGUUCUGGAAUACGGUUGGUAUCUCAAGUUUUCAUUUGGACAAGAGUUUGAUGGAAAGUUUGCUAUUUCUGAUUCAAGUACUUCAAAAUGUAGAAUUAAUAAGUAAAGCAAGUGAAAGUUUAUUAAUAAAACAUAAAUAGCUAAGUAUCAGUUACCAAAGGCUACCAGUCAACAAAACAAACACAGCAAAAACCCACCUGGGCUGUUAAUGUUUCCUUCUCUGGCUCUGAGGAUCAGUAACUCCAUAUUCAUCUCAUUUGGAGGUACUCUUAAACUGGCACCUGCUUUGCUUUCGGAAGGAAGAUUUUUUUAAAUGUUAUUAUUGAAUGAAUACUGAAGACCUAUGGUUAAUUCCAGAAGAGACAAAACUUCUUAAUUAAAAAACAACACAAAGCUAAUCACUUCAUAAAACUUUAGUAACUGAGUGAACCUCAAACUUUAAGCAGAAGAAAUGAAAAUACAAAAUAAAAAUUGAACUAUAUUAAUUUGCUAAAUGGUUUUUGCUGCAGCAAGUCGUUUAUCAUAUUGGGGGUCUUAAUUACAUGCAGGAAGUUGUCAAAAAGGAAUUUUUUUUAAGAUUUUAUUUUUAAGUAAUCUCUGUAUCCACAUAGGGCUGGAAUUCACAACCCCAAGACCAAGAGUCACAUGUUCAACCACCUGAGCCAGGAAAAGCUUCCAAAUUCUUCCAGAGACCAGAGUGCAAAAAACGUGCAGAGCAGAAUACUAGUGAGAAUGAACAUGUGCAGUGACAACAGACACAGCAUCGCUGGUAACGACUGCUCAGUUGCAGCAGGAUCACUCACUCUGUGGGACUUUAUGGAGAGGCCCAACAUGAUGAGGAAUGGAAGUCUCCAGCCAAAUGAAUGAACUUAGAAGCAGAUCUUCCAGCCCCAAUCAAACCUUCAGAUAAAUAACUGCAGCUUUCUUGCCAAGCGGUUUCAUAUCCACUUGGUAAUCUCCACAAUACCCUGUAAGGUACACAUGAGUAAAUCUGCGAGACAGUCUUUGCUGGGCUGAAGAUAUGCAUACGUGCAGCUUUGAUAGACUCUGUUAUAUUAUACUUCAAAGCAGUCUUGCCAAUACUCACCCAGCAUGCAUGGGAGCGUGUGUUCCCAAGUCACUUGCCAGUAGAGUCUGCAAUAAAUCAUUUGGGUCUUUGCCCAUCUGAGAGAUAGAAUGAACUUGUUUCCCAGAUGACUACCCAGUUUUCCAACAUCAGUUAUUAAUCCAACUUUCACUACAUACAAAUUCUGGAUCGCCUCACAUGAUCACUUCACUGAGUUAAAAGAUUUUUCUCAUCAUUCAUUGGAUGCCAAGAACUGUGAGGAGUCUGAGAUUUUAGCUCCCUUGCAAGCAAACGGGUUAGCCUGCCACCAAAUCAUGGAUGUUGGCAAAAGACGUGGCAUUCCUGGGCCAGUACUCACAGCACAGCAAGCAGCAUGAGCCUCGUGUUUGCAAGGAAACCACAAAUGUUGGAGAGGAUGCGGAGAAAAGGGAACCCUCUUACACUGUAGGUG